rnacentral:rRNA from 1 species
AGAGUUUGAUCCUGGCUCAGGAUGAACGCUGGCGGCGUGCCUAAUACAUGCAAGUCGAACGCUUCACUUCGGUGAAGAGUGGCGAACGGGUGAGUAAUACAUAAGUAACCUGGCAUCUACAGGGGGAUAACUGAUGGAAACGUCAGCUAAGACCGCAUAGGUGUAGAGAUCGCAUGAACUCUAUAUGAAAAGUGCUACGGGACUGGUAGAUGAUGGACUUAUGGCGCAUUAGCUUGUUGGUAGGGUAACGGCCUACCAAGGCGACGAUGCGUAGCCGACCUGAGAGGGUGACCGGCCACACUGGGACUGAGACACGGCCCAGACUCCUACGGGAGGCAGCAGUAGGGAAUUUUCGGCAAUGGGGGAAACCCUGACCGAGCAACGCCGCGUGAAGGAAGAAGUAAUUCGUUAUGUAAACUUCUGUCAUAGAGGAAGAACGGUGGAUAUAGGGAAUGAUAUCCAAGUGACGGUACUCUAUAAGAAAGCCACGGCUAACUACGUGCCAGCAGCCGCGGUAAUACGUAGGUGGCGAGCGUUAUCCGGAAUUAUUGGGCGUAAAGAGGGAGCAGGCGGCACUAAGGGUCUGUGGUGAAAGAUCGAAGCUUAACUUCGGUAAGCCAUGGAAACCGUAGAGCUAGAGUGUGUGAGAGGAUCGUGGAAUUCCAUGUGUAGCGGUGAAAUGCGUAGAUAUAUGGAGGAACACCAGUGGCGAAGGCGACGAUCUGGCGCAUAACUGACGCUCAGUCCCGAAAGCGUGGGGAGCAAAUAGGAUUAGAUACCCUAGUAGUCCACGCCGUAAACGAUGAGUACUAAGUGGUGGGGUGGUCAAACCUUCAUGGCUUGCAGUUAACGCAAUAAGUAUUCCGCGUGAGUGGUACGUUCGCAAGAAUGAAACUCAAAGGAAUUGACGGGGGCCCCGCACAAGCGGGGGAGCAUGUGGUUUAAUUCGAAGCAACGCGAAGAACCUUACCAGGUCUUGACAUCGAUCUAAAGGCUCCAGAGAUGGAGAGAUAGCUAUAGAGAAGACAGGUGGUGCAUGGUUGUCGUCAGCUCGUGUCGUGAGAUGUUGGGUUAAGUCCCGCAACGAGCGCAACCCCUGUUGCCAGUUGCCAGCAUUAAGUUGGGGACUCUGGCGAGACUGCCGGUGACAAGCCGGAGGAAGGCGGGGAUGACGUCAAAUCAUCAUGCCCCUUAUGACCUGGGCUACACACGUGCUACAAUGGACAGAGCAGAGGGAAGCGAAGCCGCGAGGUGGAGCGAAACCCAUAAAACUGUUCUCAGUUCGGACUGCAGUCUGCAACUCGACUGCACGAAGAUGGAAUCGCUAGUAAUCGCGAAUCAGCAUGUCGCGGUGAAUACGUUCUCGGGCCUUGCACACACCGCCCGUCA